AUGUCUUCCGCUCCGCUGCUCGGCGCGCGCGAGCACUCCAGCGAAUGCGGUGAGGUAAAGCGGGGCUCGCCGGCGUGGCUGCGCCGCCUGAUCGACACGGAGGAGGCCUGGGCGCAGCUACAGUUCGCGCUGCCGAUGGUCCUGACCAACAUGUCCUACUACGCCAUCCCGCUGGUGUCCGUGAUGUUCUCCGGCCACCUCGGCAACGUCCACCUCGCCGGCGCCACGCUCGGCAACUCCUGGGCCACCGUCACCGGCUACGCCUUCGUUACCGGCAUGAGCGGCGCCAUGGAGACACUGUGUGGACAGGCCUACGGCGCCCGGAUGUACCGCCUGCUGGGCUUGUACCUGCAAUCGUCGCUCAUCAUGUCAGCGAUGGUGUCCGUACUCAUCUCCGUCGUGUGGCUGUUCACGGAGCCGAUCCUGUUGUCUCUGCAUCAGGAACCCGAGGUGUCCCAUGCUGCAACAGUGUUCAUCCGAUACCAGAUCCCCGGUUUGUUUGCCUAUUCCUUCCUGCAAUGCCUGCUACGGUAUCUGCAGACACAGUCCAUUGUCGUACCACUUGUUGUCUGCUCCAUGGUGCCUUUUGCGCUCCACAUCGCCCUGAACUACCUGCUGGUGAAUGUGGUCGGAUUGGGCCUCACUGGCGCGUCAUUGGCCAUCUCAGCCACGUUUUGGGUCUCGUGCCUGAUGCUGCUCGCGUACGUGAUGUGGUCCAAGGAGUUCGACGAGACAUGGAAGGGCUUCUCUACCGACGCCUUGAACUACCUGUUACCGACGAUCAAGCUCGCCAUGCCCUCCGCCAUCAUGGUCUGCUUGGAGUACUGGGCGAUUGAGCUCCUCGUGCUGCUCGCCGGCCUGCUGCCGAAUUCCACUGUGAGCACGUCGUUGAUCGCCAUAUGCGCAAGCACGCAGGCCGUUUCCUACAUGAUCACCUAUGGGUUCAGUGCCGCUGUGAGCACCCGGGUGUCGAAUGAGGUUGGGGCUGGUAACGUGGACAGGGCAAAGAACGCGGUCACGGUUACGAUGAAACUGUCAGUCUUCCUCGCCCUCUCAUUCAUCCUGCUCCUUAUCAUUGGCCAUGGCCUCUGGGCGAGCCUCUUCACGGGGAGCGCGAUGAUUGCGGCAAAGUUCGCGGCCAUCACCCCGCUCCUGAUGAUCUCUAUUGUGCUCGACUCCACGCAGGGCGUGCUGUCAGGGGUUGCGCGGGGCUGUGGAUGGCAGCACCUGGCGGCGACCACCAACCUGGUGGCGUACUACUUGGCUGGCAUGCCGGUGGCCAUUCUCUUGGCCUUCAAGCUCAACUUGUACACUCACGGCUUAUGGUUGGGUUUAAUCACUGGGCUGGCAUGCCAGACAAGCGUGAUGGUGAUCAUCACCCUCCGCACGAAAUGGUCAAAGCUCGUGGACGCGAUGGUGAAAAAUCGGGAUGACUAUGUGGCCUGA
rnacentral:rRNA from 1 species